rnacentral:rRNA from 1 species
UACGUAGGGUGCGAGCGUUAAUCGGAAUUACUGGGCGUAAAGCGUGCGCAGGCGGUUUUGUAAGCCAGAUGUGAAAUCCCCGGGCUUAACCUGGGAAUGGCAUUUGGGACUGCAAGGCUUGAGUGCGGCAGAGGAGACUGGAAUUCCCGGUGUAGCAGUGAAAUGCGUAGAUAUCUGGAGGAACACCGGUGGCGAAGGCGACAUCCUGGACCGGUAUUGACGCUGAGGCGCGAAAGCCAGGGGAGCAAACGGG